AUUUAAAUAGCUUAUAUUUAGAGCAUGAUAUUGAAGAUAUCAAGGAAGUAAUAUACUUUUAAGUA
rnacentral:tRNA from 1 species